rnacentral:rRNA from 1 species
GACGAACGCUGGCGGCGUGCCUAAUACAUGCAAGUUGAGCGCUGAAGGUUGGUACUUGUACCAACUGGAUGAGCAGCGAACGGGUGAGUAACGCGUGGGGAAUCUGCCUUUGAGCGGGGGACAACAUUUGGAAACGAAUGCUAAUACCGCAUAAAAACUUUAAACACAAGAUUUAAGUUUGAAAGAUGCAAUUGCAUCACUCAAAGAUGAUCCCGCGUUGUAUUAGCUAGUUGGUGAGGUAAAGGCUCACCAAGGCGAUGAUACAUAGCCGACCUGAGAGGGUGGUCGGCCACAAUGGGACUGAGACACGGCCCAAACUCCUACGGGAGGCAGCAGUAGGGAAUCUUCGGCAAUGGACGAAAGUCUGGCCGAGCAACGCCGCGUGAGUGAAGAAGGUUUUCGGAUCGUAAAACUCUGUUGGUAGAGAAGAACGUUGGUGAGAGUGGAAAGCUCAUCAAGUGACGGUAACUACCCAGAAAGGGACGGCUAACUACGUG